AUUGCGGCGACGUGGGCGGUUCGCUGCCCGCGACGUUGUGAGAAGUCCACUGAACCUUAUCAUUUAGAGGAAGGAGAAGUCGUAACAAGGUUUCCGUAGGUGAACCUGCGGAAGGAUCAUUGUCGAUGCCUCGCAACCAGUUUGACCGGCGAAUUCGUUUAUCCUUCGGGGUCGGCGCGGGGUGCCGAACGAGCAUCCCGUCCCUCCCCUUUCGUCGGGGCGGCGGUCAGGUCCCGCCUGGCUUCCUCCCGGCAAAACACAAACCCCGGCGCUUGCACGCGCCAAGGAAUUCACAACUGUUCGGCGCGACUCUCGGGGGCCCGGAGACGGCGUUCCCCGUGGGUCUCGUCACGAAACGCAACAUAGAAUGACUCUCGGCAACGGAUAUCUCGGCUCUUGCAUCGAUGAAGAACGUAGCGAAAUGCGAUACUUGGUGUGAAUUGCAGAAUCCCGUGAACCAUCGAGUCUUUGAACGCAAGUUGCGCCCGAAGCCAUUAGGUUGAGGGCACGCCUGCCUGGGUGUCACACAUCGUCACAUCGCGCGAAAAAGCCUCCCGUAGGCUGCUGCGCGGUGUGUGUAUGCUGACCUCCCGCGACCGCAGUCUCGUGGUUGGUUGAAAUUUGAGUUCGUGGCUGAGCACGCCGUGACAAAAUGGUGGAUGAGCUGGACUCGAGACCGAUCACGUGCGCGACUCUUCCAGGUCUGGACUCUUGGACCCCCACGCGUCGUCCGACGCUCUUAGCGAGACCUCAGGUCAGGCGGGGCUACCCGCUGAGUUUAAGCAUAUCAAUAAGCGGAGGAAAAGAAACUAAC
rnacentral:sRNA from 1 species